CCUUCUCUGAAUAAAAAAAGAAAGGUUGCUGUGUCCAAGUGACCCUCAGCUCCCCCCUCCCCCUGUGAAACCAACCUCCCGGGAGGCAGCGGGGAGAGCAGCAGCCGAAGAACAAGGAAGACGCUGCAGACCGAGGACUGACCACUCUCACUAGUACCAGCUCCGGAAGCCCGGCCUGUGCAGCUCUCUGCCCGGGCCGUGAACUGACCAGGUGCACCAUUUCCUGAAAGGACGCCGUGUGCCCUCUAAGGCGGACAUGCUGUCUGCGAGCAAGGCCUUCCUUCCAGUCGCAUUGACGUGGUGACGAUGGGAAAGGCUGUGACUCCCACCACAGGAAAGGGAUCUCCUAAGUCUUCAAGUUUCCUAUGCACCUGGCCUCUGGACCCUAUUCUGCACCUGAGAGGGAAGUCCAUCACCCCUCACACGGAAUCCCACAGGGCUGCUGGGUUCCCUGAAGCUGUUUGGGAAACACACACACACACACACACACACACACACACACACACACACACACACAGUAAGAUGGACAGAAAGCCGCCUCAGCAACCCCCCCGCCGGCUCUCAGAGAGCGGAUGAUCUGGUCUUCAAGGAAAGAUGGGCUUUGUCACAAUCGGAGUUGCCUGCGCUGAAGGGCAGACCCGCACACUCCCGGCCGCCGCGCGGAGAGGGGCCUGCAGCUGGGGAGGGUCCUGCACUUGCCAGCCUGAACGAUGGACGGAGAACAGGCCUAACACUGAGGACACUGCAGGUCAUGCUGUUUCUAAUUGUAACAAAGAAGAGAGAUGCCUUGUUUGUAAGUCCCAGUGUCUUUCCUGCGUGAUUAAAAAUUCAUUGGCAAACGAUAAACUUCCCUCUAAAGUA